AACGAACGCUGGCGGCAGGCUUAACACAUGCAAGUCGAGCGCCCCGCAAGGGGAGCGGCAGACGGGUGAGUAACGCGUGGGAACGUGCCCUUUGGUUCGGAACAACUCCGGGAAACUGGAGCUAAUACCGGAUAAGCCCUUCGGGGGAAAGAUUUAUCGCCAAGGGAUCGGCCCGCGUCUGAUUAGCUAGUUGGUGGGGUAAUGGCCCACCAAGGCGACGAUCAGUAGCUGGUCUGAGAGGAUGAUCAGCCACACUGGGACUGAGACACGGCCCAGACUCCUACGGGAGGCAGCAGUGGGGAAUAUUGGACAAUGGGCGCAAGCCUGAUCCAGCCAUGCCGCGUGAGUGAUGAAGGCCUUAGGGUUGUAAAGCUCUUUUGUCCGGGAAGAUAAUGACUGUACCGGAAGAAUAAGCCCCGGCUAACUUCGUGCCAGCCGCCGCGGUAAAAC
rnacentral:rRNA from 1 species